UGAUAAAUGCUGGAGAGGCUGUGGAGAAAAGCAAAUCCUCCUACAUUGUUGGUAAGAAUGUAGUUUGGUGCAGCCGUUAUGAAAACAGUAUGGAGAUUCCUUAAAAAACUGAAAAUAGACUUACUAUAUGAUCCAGCAAUCCCACUUGUGGGCAUGUAUCCAGAGGGAACUUUAAUUCAAAAAGAUACAUGCACCCCAGUGUUCAUAGCAGUGCUAUUUACAAUAGCCAAGACAUGGAAACAACUUAAAUGUCCAUUGACAGAUGAAUGGAUAAAGAAGUGGUGGUAUGUUUAUACAAUGGAAUACUGCUCAGCCAUAAGAAGAAUGAAAUAAUGCCAUUUGCAGCAUCAUGGAUGGAAGUAAGUAAAGGUCCAGAUGUGGAUUCUUACGGUCUGAUAAUGGUGGAGGAUGGAAGGGAUAAACACAAUGAAGACUACCAAUGGAGGAAUGGACCACAUACAUCAGUCCUGUCUCCAUGGCAAUGUGGGAUUCCUGUUGAGCAGCGUCAUGAAGGCUCUCCACUCUACCCUACACAGUCAUUUGGCAGGAAAAUUGAAUUGGAGACUCUCCCAUCUGCAUUUAAUGGUUUCUAAAAUCACUUGGGUUGGCAACACUGGCUGCCGGGGCAAGAAAGAACACGGAGAUGGGCAUAUGGAAAGGUUUCAUGGGCCAGGCCUAGAGGUUGUAUAUAUUACUUUUACAGAGGUCAGUCGCUUGGCAAUAACUAACCACAAGGGAGGCUGGAAACUCUGGCUUAGUGCAGAAGAGAAAAGAGAAAAAAGAUUUGGAUGUUAAGCAGCAUCAUCUGCUACAAUAACCAUUAGAGAAAAAACAAAAUAGAAAAAUAAUUGGUGUCUAACUUUCUUGUGUUUUAUUCCCUUUUUGUUUUGAGUUCACAGUUAUUUGUUCUCCAUCUGUGGAAUUACCUAGAGUUGAAAUGGAGAUGCUUUCAUCUAGGACGAUUUGACUUUGUUCUCACUGAUAGCCAGAGGACACUGCUAGCCUGGGACCACUCCCUUUCCUCUAAGAUCCCUACUCAGUGGGAGUCUCAGGGCUGCCUCUGUGCACAGACGUCCCUUUGCAGCUGUCUCAUAACCGUGCAGGGCAGACAGAGAGCCGAGCCCACAUCGCUGACAUCGCUCCUUGCCGACAGUUGGAAUGUGAAGAAACCUCGCUCCCUGAAUGACAGCUUUCAAGAAGAGUUCCUCUGCUUCUCCAGCAGAUCAGAGAUACAUAAUAUCUCAUUUGAGCUCCAAAUGUCACUAAAAAUACCAGACUCACUUUCUUAGGGUCUGAUUUGAAAAGGUUUCUACAUCAUUUAAAACAAAAAUACAAACAAAUGCCCUUUCUUGGAGAUCUACUACAGGACAUGCUUUCGCAAAAUAAAGGAAUAAGCAAGAGAGAAGACAGGGGAUCCAGGAACCAUGAGUCCAACUCUGGAAAACAAGAUUGGGAAGUUCCAAGACAAGAGCCGUGCAGCAGCUGACUGGGUCACCAUCCCAGACUGCAGGAGGAAAGUGGAGGCUCUGGUCGAGGGGAAGGGUGCACAGAACUGCUCUUUCUCAACAUGAGUCUUUGUGUUACUUUACAGACUCCAAUAAACAAUAUUUUCAGUAGUCGGAUUUCAUAGAAAAGAUCUCUAGAGAAAUAAAAAUUUCUCACAGGACAAAACAAGCCUCUGAGCUGAGGACAGCUUGGCAGAAAUUUGCCCAGGAGGCUCGUGUGCUACCCACUCACACCUACGCACACCAGUGGAUGCCAUUCACAGAUGGCCAAUUUCCCCCACCAAUGGGAUUACAUCAGUCAUCAGUGAAUAAAGCCCAGAGAUUUUUCUUAUGAAACCUUUGUCCUGAAGUGACUUGCUCAGGAACACACAGUAAGUGCAAGAUCUGUUGAUUGAAACUUUCGCUCUUGGCUUGGCAGAGCCUUUCCACCAAACACUUUUGUCCUAGGUGAGAAUGUGAACAAAAGGAAAAGCUCUCUAACAUAACUCACUGAGUUUCGAAAGUGUUCCAUCUUUGGGGUUUUAUUCUUCUUCUUUUUUUUUAAUAUUUUACUUUAGCUUGGCAUGUAAUCUCACCUGACUAGGAGGUCUCUUUUGAGUCAACAGUAGAAAAAGCAAGUCAAUUCUAUGCAGCGACCAUCCACUGAGAAGUCAUUGGCUAAGACCUGGAAGAUUACUGCAUGUGGAGGCAGCUACUCUCUGUGCAUUAGUGAAACUGAGCAUGAAACAGGAGCUGUACAUAUAAACCUUGUUCAAGCCAAGACGAGAAAGAAAGAGAACUGACAUUGCACUAAAAAGAGUCCAAACUCAGCCAUUUAAGAGGUGACUUGUCUGACAGUGUCUUGAAAUGAGAUUAGAGGCUGAUUAAACAAACUCAAAUAAAGGAAGCGGCAGUGCAGACAACAUUUCAACUAUUACUCAUUCUUUUAUAGUCUAAGUAUUUCAAGAUUCUUAGAACAUGCUGUGAUUUUUUUUUAGCA